rnacentral:rRNA from 1 species
UACGUAGGGUGCGAGCGUUGUCCGGAAUUAUUGGGCGUAAAGAGCUCGUAGGCGGUCUGUCGCGUCGGUCGUGAAAACCUGCAGCUUAACUGUGGGCGUGCGGUCGAUACGGGCAUGACUGGAGUUCGGCAGGGGAGACUGGAAUUCCUGGUGUAGCAGUGAAAUGCGUAGAUAUCAGGAGGAAUACCGAUGGCGAAGGCAGGUCUCUGGGCUGACACUGACGUCAUGCACGAAAGCGUGGGGAGCAAACAGG